GAUGAACGCUAGCGGGAGGCUUAACACAUGCAAGUCGAGGGGCAGCACGAUGUAGCAAUACGUUGGUGGCGACCGGCGCACGGGUGAGUAACGCGUAUGCAACCUACCCUGUACAGGGGGAUAGCCCGGAGAAAUUCGGAUUAAUACCCCAUAAUGAUAUUAAGUGGCAUCAUUUAAUAUUUAAAGCUUCGGCGGUACUGGAUGGGCAUGCGUAAGAUUAGCUAGUUGGUAGGGUAACGGCCUACCAAGGCUCCGAUCUUUAGGGGUCCUGAGAGGGUGAUCCCCCA
rnacentral:rRNA from 1 species